CGCAUGUGGGACCUCCUUGGUGACAUCCUCUACCCCUAGCAUGUUGGAUCGGUCGCUCCCAGGAGAAUAGGAAAGCCACGCCUUUAGGUGGUUACACUGCAUUCUCCCGUCUCGGAAGAGAAAGUGGAGUCUUGGACUCAAUAACAAGGCAGAAAAAUCCAUGUUUCUCAGGGGGCAGUGGUGGCUGGGAGGGGCUUUAACCCCAGUGCCGCUCUGCACGGCGGAGAAUCGGAGCGUGGAGCCAGGGCUCACCUGCCCCAGCGCGGCCGGUCACGGCCCGCCUUUGGUCAUCCUGCCCACCGGCUUGUGACGCCCAGAGCCAGACUGUGGCCGGGAAGGAGAGACAAGGCAAGGCCAAAGGCGUGAGCUGAAGUUAGCAAGAAAAGUGUGCGGGUGAUGAGGCGCGGACCUGACCGACCGCGCAGCACGGGAGCCGCCGGAGGGCAUCGAGCAGCGGGCGGCCCUUCCGGCUUCCUGUUGGCGAGGCCGACCCGCACCUGAGCGAGUCCCGGGUCUGCAGGAAGGUGGUGGCUUGGGAACUAGGAGCAAAGUCGCUGUUUUAAGAAAAGAUGUGUUUGUGUCUGCUGCCCCUGUGUGGCCACAUGCACGAACUACACUCUCGUCUCUGCCUGACCUGAUUCUGGGGAAAGGCACGUUUUCAGAGGCUGUUGAUUUCUUCAGCACUGUUUUGCAGUUCUACGACUUAGCUCCUAAAAAAUCACAGAAUCGUCCGGCGCCCACUGGGAGCCUUGGAACUUAUGCCCCUCCGAUAUCAGGGGACAACUGUAUCUCCUAAUCAAGAAGGACCACAAGUCUGAUGGAUGAAGGAUUCUAGUUAGCAAGACAGACUCCAUAUUGCUGCUGAAUGACCCACCUGCCUGUCCCUUUAGAUGAACUCAAAAGGAGGAAGCUUAGAAACCUCCUCCCCUUAGAGAGUCUCUUAGAAACAAAAAUUAAUCAACUAUUGUUUUACAAAUGUUAUAACGACAGGAUGUUCCCCUCUAUACCUUUUGCUUGCUUUGCUAGUUCUAUCCCAUAGGGGGGCCUAGAAACCGUUGGCCUCAAAGGUGUAUAAAAUAUGUUAAUCGAGCCCCGACUGGGGGGCUGGAGUCCGAUGCUCGGCUGGGGUCCGGCCAGUAAUAAAUUCCUGUGUGG
rnacentral:lncRNA from 1 species